rnacentral:rRNA from 1 species
AACGGUACAGGAUAGCUUGCCAUCGCUGACAGAGUGGCGGACGGGUGAGUAAUACUUAGGGAUCUGCCUCUGUGUGGGGGAUAACUAUUGGAAACGAUAGCUAAUACCGCAUAAUGUCUACGGACCAAAGCGGGCUUCGGCUCGUGCGCAGAGAGGAACCUAAGCGAGAUUAGCUAGUUGGUGAGGUAAAGGCUCACCAAGGCGACGAUCUCUAGCUGUUCUGAGAGGAAGAUCAGCCACACUGGAACUGAGACACGGUCCAGACUCCUACGGGAGGCAGCAGUGGGGAAUAUUGCACAAUGGGGGAAACCCUGAUGCAGCCAUGCCGCGUGUGUGAAGAAGGCCUACGGGUUGUAAAGCACUUUCAGUUGUGAGGAAAGUUUAGUAGUUAAUACCUGCUAGAUGUGACGUUAGCAACAGAAGAAGCACCGGCUAACUCCGUGCCAGCAGCCGCGGUAAUACGGAGGGUGCGAGCGUUAAUCGGAAUUACUGGGCGUAAAGCGCACGCAGGCGGUCUGUUAAGCUAGAUGUGAAAGCCCCGCGCUCAACGUGGGAGGGUCAUUUAGAACUGGCAGACUAG